AAGAGAGAGAAAUCCCGGUUGAACCUUCGAAAAGAUUGGAUGAUACAUAUGGUAUGUAGCUAGGUCACAUGUAUGGUGCUGAGUGCACAUCAUGUGUACAAGAGAGCUACGAGACAUUAUGAUGUAGCUAGGUCGCAUGGGUGAUACUAUGUGUACACCGUGUAGACAAGAGAGCUACGAGAUAUAUGUAGCUAGGUCGUAUGCGUGGUUCCAGGUGAAGGACACCAUGUAGACAAGAGAGCUACGAGAUAAACUGGCUAGG
rnacentral:lncRNA from 1 species